GGCCAGCCCGAGAGGGCAGAGCGGCAGUCACACCCCGCCAUGGGGAAGGAGGCUGUCCAAAAGCCGAGGGGGAGCCAUUCUUGCACCCGACAGCCACCCCGCCAGGCUCCCAACUGACUACUAUCCAGGACAGCAGGCCGUUCCUCACACUCCACAGCAGGCUCCUCCUCAUGUUUAAGACUUUAAUCCGCUUUGAAUUCGUUUUUGGGUAUACUAUAAGCCACUUAUUGCUGCGAAUCUACACUAUCCUACCUAACCCAAAUCAAGAUGCUGUGAAGGUCCCAAAUGACUGAUAUCCAUCUAGAGGAUCAAGUGAAACCACAGACCUCUGUGCUGCAACCAAACAUUCAAAUGCUGUCCAACAAAAAGAAGACACAACAAAGUCAUUAAAAGCUAAAUUAAUACAGCCUUCCAACAUGAAAAGGUUCCCCAACGCUGACCAAGUCUGACCUCUUUCAGUGGAAAGAACCAUUUACCUUC